rnacentral:rRNA from 1 species
UACGUAGGGGGCAAGCGUUGUCCGGAUUUAUUGGGCGUAAAGAGCUCGUAGGCGGUUUGGUAAGUCUGGUGUGAAAUCUCCACGCUCAACGUGGAGGGGCCACCCGAUACUGCCAUGACUGGAGUCCGGUAGAGGAGUGUGGAAUUCCCGGUGUAGCGGUGAAAUGCGCAGAUAUCGGGAGGAACACCGGUGGCGAAGGCGGGUCUCUGGGCCGUAACUGACGCUGAGGAGCGAAAGCAUGGGGAGCGAACAGG